rnacentral:rRNA from 1 species
UACGUAGGGUGCAAGCGUUGUCCGGAAUUAUUGGGCGUAAAGAGCUCGUAGGCGGUCUGUCGCGUCGGAUGUGAAAACUCGGGGCUCAACUCCGAGCGUGCAGUCGAUACGGGCAGGCUAGAGUUCGGCAGGGGAGACUGGAAUUCCUGGUGUAGCGGUGAAAUGCGCAGAUAUCAGGAGGAACACCGGUGGCGAAGGCGGGUCUCUGGGCCUAUACUGACGCUGAGGAGCGAAAGCCAGGGGAGCAAACGGG